rnacentral:rRNA from 1 species
UACGUAGGGGGCUAGCGUUGUCCGGAAUCAUUGGGCGUAAAGCGCGCGUAGGCGGCUAGAUAAGUCCGGUGUGAAAGUCACAGGCUCAACCUGUGAAUGCCGCUGGAAACUGUCUGGCUUGAGUCCGGAAGAGGAGAGUGGAAUUCCUGGUGUAGCGGUGAAAUGCGCAGAUAUCAGGAAGAACACCCGUGGCGAAGGCGGCUCUCUGGGACGGUACUGACGCUGAGACGCGAAAGCGUGGGGAGCGAACAGG